GCACCAUGAGAAAGAGACUGUCUCUUGAAGAUAGCCAAUGAAACUGAUCUGCCUGUGCAAAAGCAGGCAUAACAAAACAAGACAAAAAGACCCUGUGAAACUUAAAAAUAAAUGUCAAUAAUAUGACAACAUUUUUUGGUUGGGGCAACCAAAGAGAAACAAAAUCUCUUAAUAUACUAGACCAACAAGUCCAAUUUAACAAAAGACCCAGUAAAACUGAUCAACGGACCAAGCUACUCCAGGGAUAACAGCGCUCAAUUCUUGAAGAGUUCACAUCAACAAGAAUUCUUACGACCUCGAUGUUGGAUCAGGAUACCCAAGCAGUGCAAAAGCCGCUAAUGGUUCGUUUGUUCAACGAUAAACAUCCUACGUGAUCUGAG
rnacentral:rRNA from 1 species